AGGAUUAACGCUGGCGGCGUGCAUGAAACAUGCAAGUCGAGCGCGGUGUGAUGCGGGGUAACCCAAUUCACAUCUAGCGGCGAACGGGUGAGUAACACGUGAGCAACCUACCUUUGAGUUGGGGAUAGCCCUGGGAAACCGGGAUUAAUACCGGAUACGACCACUUUAGACAUCUGUUGUGGUGGAAAGAAUUUUGGCUAGGGAUGAGCUCGCGGCCUAUCAGCUUGUUGGUGGGGUAACGGCCUACCAAGGCGACGACGGGUA
rnacentral:rRNA from 1 species